rnacentral:tRNA from 1 species
CCUUCGAUAGCUCAGUUGGUAGAGCGGAGGACUGUAGAGGCAUCAGCUGAAAUCCUUAGGUCGCUGGUUCAAAUCCGGCUCGAAGGA